GCCACAGUCUGAUAUUACCGCGUUUCCAUCCAACCGCAUCCGUAGUACUACAGAAACGGUUAGGUGGAAACGCGGUAAUAUAUAUG
rnacentral:miRNA from 1 species